rnacentral:misc_RNA from 1 species
GAUGAAGAACGUAGUGAAAUGCGAUAAGUAGUGUGAAUUGCAGAAUUCAGUGAAUCAUCGAAUCUUUGAACGCACAUUGCGCCCCUUGGUAUUCCAUGGGGCAUGCCUGUUUGAGCGUCAUUUGUACCUUCAAGCUCUGCUUGGUGUUGGGUGUUUGUCUCGCCUCUGCGUGUAGACUCGCCUCAAAACAAUUGGCAGCCGGCGUAUUGAUUUCGGAGCGCAGUACAUCUCGCGCUUUGCACUCAUAACGACGACGUCCAAAAGUACAUUUUUACACUCUUGACCUCGGAUCAGGUAGGGAUACCCGCUGAACUUAAGCAUAUCAAUAAGCGGAGGA